CCUACGGGUGACAGCAGUGAGGAAUAUUGGUCAAUGGCCGGAAGGCUGAACCAGCCAUGCCGCGUGAAGGUCAGUGCCCUAUGGGCGUUAAACUUCUUUUGUGCGGGAGCAAUAAUGGUCACGUGUGGCCAGACGAGAGUACCGUACGAAUAAGCAUCGGCUAACUCCUUGCCAGCAGCCGCGGUAAUACGGGGGAUGCAAGCGUUAUCCGGAUUUAUUGGGUUUAAAGGGUGCGUAGGCUGUGAGGUAAGUCAGCGGUGAAAUGCCCCCGCUCAACGGGGUGAAGUGCCAUUGAUACUGCCUGGCUGGAAUGCGGAUGCCGUGGGAGGAAUGUGUGGUGUAGCGGUGAAAUGCAUAGAUAUCACACAGAACACCGAUUGCGAAGGCAUCUCACGAAUCCGCGAUUGACGCUGAUGCACGAAAGCGUGGGUAUAAAACAGGAUUAGAUACCCGUGUAGUC
rnacentral:rRNA from 1 species